rnacentral:rRNA from 1 species
UACGAAGGGUGCUAGCGUUGCUCGGAAUCACUGGGCGUAAAGCGCACGUAGGCGGAUUGUUAAGUCAGGGGUGAAAUCCUGGAGCUCAACUCCAGAACUGCCUUUGAUACUGGCGAUCUUGAGUCCGGGAGAGGUGAGUGGAACUCCGAGUGUAGAGGUGAAAUUCGUAGAUAUUCGGAAGAACACCAGUGGCGAAGGCGGCUCACUGGCCCGGUACUGACGCUGAGGUGCGAAAGCGUGGGGAGCAAACAGG